CUAGACGUAGCUCAGUUUGGGAGAGCGGGCGCCCUGGAAGCGUCAGGUCGCUGGUUCAAGUCCAGCCGUCUAGACCA
rnacentral:tRNA from 1 species